AGUGAACGCUGGCGGUAGGCCUAACACAUGCAAGUCGAACGGCAGCACAGUAAGAGCUUGCUCUUACGGGUGGCGAGUGGCGGACGGGUGAGGAAUACAUCGGAAUCUACUUUUUCGUGGGGGAUAACGUAGGGAAACUUACGCUAAUACCGCAUACGACCUACGGGUGAAAGCAGGGGAUCUUCGGACCUUGCGCGAUUGUAUGAGCCGAUGUCGGAUUAGCUAGUUGGCGGGGUAAAGGCCCACCAAGGCGACGAUCCGUAGCUGGUCUGAGAGGAUGAUCAGCCACACUGGAACUGAGACACGGUCGAGACUCCUACGGGAGGCAGCAGUGGGGAAUAUUGGACAAUGGGCGCAAGCCUGAUCCAGCCAUACCGCGUGGGUGAAGAAGGCCUUCGGGUUGUAAAGCCCUGUUGUUGGGAAAGAAAAGCAGCAGGUUAAUACCCCGCGGUUCUGACGGUACCCAAAGAAUAAGCACCGGCUAACUUCGUG
rnacentral:rRNA from 1 species